UUCAUCUUCUCUCUCGCAGAGACAAGCUAGGGCUAGCCGCCACCCUAUUCCUCCGCCUGAAACCCCGCCGCAUCGAUGCCGCCGUUCACUAAACCAAUACCCUAGGACCUUCUAACCAUCUGGAACACAAAUCCCUUAACUGUUUGCUUCUAAUCAUCCCCCAGCUUCUCGAAUCUUCAAUCGAAUAUUCGAGCAGACCAUGAACCAAACUCAAUCCACCCCAAACUCACACCAGUUAUCCACUAAGCCUCCCUCGCCUCUGAACCACCACUGGUUCCCUUCGAAUCACGUUGGAAUCGUUCGAAUCCCAAAUCGAACCGUAUAAACCCUAGAUAGGACCCAGGCUAGAAUUUGUCCAAAAUAAAAUUAAUGGGG
rnacentral:lncRNA from 1 species